GUGCCUGUGGGAUGAACAGGUCCCGAUAUUUACCACCAUUUUAUUCACUUUGUCAGCUAAUAGUCAUGUUUUAGCUGAUCAUUGAGAAUGGGAAUACU
rnacentral:snoRNA from 1 species